rnacentral:rRNA from 1 species
UAGGGAAUCUUCCACAAUGGACGCAAGUCUGAUGGAGCAACGCCGCGUGAGUGAAGAAGGUUUUCGGAUCGUAAAGCUCUGUUGUUGGUGAAGAAGGAUAGAGGCAGUAACUGGUCUUUAUUUGACGGUAAUCAACCAGAAAGUCACGGCUAACUACGUGCCAGCAGCCGCGGUAAUACGUAGGUGGCAAGCGUUGUCCGGAUAUAUUGGGCGUAAAGCGAGCGCAGGCGGAAUGAUAAGUCUGAUGUGAAAGCCCACGGCUCAACCGUGGAACUGCAUCGGAAACUGUCAUUCUUGAGUGCAGAAGAGGAGAGUGGAAUUCCAUGUGUAGCGGUGGAAUGCGUAGAUAUAUGGAAGAACACCAGUGGCGAAGGCGGCUCUCUGGUCUGCAACUGACGCUGAGGCUCGAAAGCAUGGGUAGCGAACAGG